rnacentral:rRNA from 1 species
GCCGCGGUAAUACGUAGGUCCCGAGCGUUGUCCGGAUUUAUUGGGCGUAAAGCGCACGUAGGCGGAUUGUUAAGUGAGGGGUGAAAUCCCAGGGCUCAACCCUGGAACUGCCUCUCAUACUGGCGAUCUCGAGUCCGGAAGAGGUGAGUGGAAUUCCGAGUGUAGAGGUGAAAUUCGUAGAUAUUCGGAGGAACACCAGUGGCGAAGGCGGCUCACUGGUCCGGUACUGACGCUGAGGUGCGAAAGCGUGGGGAGCAAACAG